rnacentral:rRNA from 1 species
GUCUUCAGCCAUACCACCCUGAACACGCCCAAUCUCGUCUGAUCUUGGAAGCUAAGCAGGGUCAGGCCUGGUUAGUACUUGGAUGGAAAGUC